UCAAGCUUUUUAGUAAUUAAAAAAAAUAUCAGAGAAGCAAGGAGAUAGUAGGUGUUGCCAUGGGGAAAGAGUUAAUACUGGUGUAGUAACCUGCUUCAGCAAGAGCAUACCCCAGACACUGCAGAGGAAAACAACUAAUUGCUGUAAAUGUAAUAUCAUCAUUUAAUUUUCAAGGCCAUCAGAUUAACUAUCUAAACAGAGUAUUUAGGUUAAUUUUCAAAGAUCUCUUCAGCUUGCACAGCAGUUUUACUGAGUCUCAUCCAAAUCCUGCUGAGGUCAAAGUAAAGAUUUCUGUUGCUUUGUCUUACAUCUCAAGCCAAAGAAUUAAGUCAUUUUCUUUUACAGACCUCUUAUCUCUAACUAUACCCAGCAGUGAUAAAAUAUUUUGUACCGUUAACAUGUUUUUCAUAAUAUAACUCUAUUGUUUGAAUUCAUAGUCUUUAUGUACAGUCCUCAUGCCCUCCUUUCCUCUUCCUCUCCUCUUCUUCUCCUCUUCCUCUCCUCUCCUCAUUCUCUUCUCCUGGAUGGAGUAUACUUCUGGUUGUUAAACACAGUGAAAAUCCCAGCAUCAAGUAAUAAUAAUAGGGCUGGAUGAAAAUUACCUGACAUACUGAAUGACAUGAGCUGAUGAUGCAUCUGGUCUGGUCAUCUCUACCUAAUAUACUGCUGGUAUUUCCAUUGCACUGAAUGAGAGACAUUAUAGUUACUGGUUACCUUUCAAGCUGUUCCUCUAGGUUCUUUUAAAUAGUUGGAAAAGAAGGGAUUUUUCAGGGUCUGUUGGGGGGAAGUCAGGGCAAUAGUGCUGAAAAGGGAACAUGAGAAAGGCUUCCUCUCUAGGGAGGAAAAUGCAAGAAGAGGCGACGAGCCCAAGGAAGGAUGGCAUCACUUAGGCUGGUGUUCUGGAGUUGUGAUAAGACAUGGCUGGGAAAAAAGCUCCCUUGAGCGAAGUAUGUGCCUGCACAGGAGCAGGAUUGCUUCUGAUUUCAUAAUCACCGGCCAUUUGAACACUUUGGCGGGAACACAGCAUCUUCUGGUCUAUUAGAAUACCCCCUGACAUUGUGUCCCAUGGGACACCAACCCUAUGAGCAAAGAUUUUCCUCUUGCCCUUUACUGCACUUUCAGACCUGGAAGCUGGAAUUGAUAUGACACUGCCCAUGCCCCUUUCCCAGCCUGCGGUCCGAGUUUCGUUCCAGCAGCAGAUGGCAGUGAAGUUCAACAAAUAGGCGAAAUAAUCUCGAGCGUGUGCUUUUCCAGCUGGCUGGUGCUGCUGCAGCUCGUUCCUGGAGCCCGGUGCAUAUUCACAGCCUGCAAGGUUCAUUUCCAGAGCACGGAGCACCCGUGGGAUGCCUUAGGCACACUGAGGGAGAAAUAUUCAUUCAUCCGUUGCUGUUUGUAAUCCAAGUCAUGUUUGUUUGUGAUGAUUUUGGCCAUAGAAACAGUAGAACAUAGAGGCUCUGCUACCAUUCCUUUCUUAAAUCCAUAUUUAAAACCUAUGUAUAUCUGCACAGAUGAGGAUGAAGCUCAAUUGCAAAGCAUGAUCCACCUGAGGAACCCACCACGGCUCCCCUCCAUCACACCCCAUAGCAUUACACAGAGGAGCACAGGGCAGCCAAGUCCCAGAUCUUGGUUUCAAAACCUGUCCAAGACAUUAGCAAACUCUGGCUGAAGCCCUCAGCUACUAUCAGUGCUGGUUCGAACAUAAAUGCCACGGCAGCAGAAGGAGAGGAUCCUUCUUCAUCUCCCCUUUUUGGGCCAUUCAUGCAGCACGGAGCCGGACUCUGUAGCCCUAAGAGCAGAAUGUGGCCAGUGGGACAGCCUGGAGAAGAGAGCACUUCUGGACUGCUCUCAGCGCUCGAUCGCCCUUAUCCUAGAAACAUAACUACAUAUUUGCUUUUCAAGCUCAUAUUUGCACAUACCAUAGUCUGAAUAUGCUUUUAAUCUUCCAGUUAUAUUAGAAUUUUUGUUUAAAAAAUGUGCAUGACACCACACUAGACAUAUUUAUAACAAGCAAGGGCACAAGUUUCAAUCACAGGUGAAGGAGCCGUGUUCUUCAUCUGUCAAUCAGUCCAUGCUCAAAACACACCGAGCAUCAAUUGCUUUUUAGGUUAUUUACUGUGACUUACAUAUCUGCCAAUAAAUCUAAAAUACAGGUCAAAGAAUAUGUAGUUCAAGUAUAUCCGUAAGUGUGGCAGAAAAGCUUCACUAACUACCUCCAAUUGCCAAAGCUGAGGUCAUUUCCUUGUUGUGAAAAAUACUGAGGUCCAUAAAUUAUUUUUAUCACCUCUGGGGCAAUGCAAAGUUUCCCACAGAUGCUGAAAGUAUGAUAUGUUUUUUAUUUAAUAUCAGAACACUUCUUUUACACAGCUCUUAAAAUAGGAGGUCCAAGGUACUGCUUGUGUUUUAAGGCCCCAAUUCAGCAACAUAUUAAAACAGAUACCUCAGGACCUGACAUUAAACACGUGCCAAAGUGCUUUGUUGCAUAGUCAUGGAUUGCUGAAUUGGAGCCUAAAGGCUACAUCUUUUUCCCAUGAAAUUCAGAAUUUACCUCCCAAUUUCUUACGGGGAAAACAAGGCAUUUGUUCAAACAUAAUAUCGAUAAACAUUUGGAAACAUUUUAAAAGGCUUGUCUUCAGGAGAUCAGGAGUGAGCAAUAGCUCUGGAGGUAAACCCUGCUGGAGAUAAAAGCUGAUGAAAUAUUUUCUUGCAACAGCCUAACUGGUGUUUAUUUAAGGCUUUAGUUAGCAUUGCUUUCGCAAGGAAAAUAAAAAUACAUGGAACACGUUGAGAACAUAAGUAUGAGUGGUGAACCUCCUACAGAGAACUUUGGAGAAAACACUGAAUUAACUUACAGUACAUUUGUUAAACAUGAGCAGCUCUAAUAAUGACAUUUCAUUUAACAAUGCCCUUUGUCUUUUCAGUUCAUCAGUUACCUAUUUCAGUAAUGAACUGCAGUCAUACCAUUCUGAUUUUCUCCUAAUGUAAAGGCUGAGAUCACUUCACUUGCAGUGGAGCAUGAUGCUAUUAUUCAGUUUGUGGCUUAGGAAAAAAGCUAUAGAAUAUAUCACAAUUGUAACUGGCCAACAAAUAUUAAAGUCCGUGAUUGGUAAGGGCAUCAAUAAUUUAAUUUAGGUUUUAAUAGGAACAAGUAAUUUAUUAUUAUUAUUUUCAAGAAAGAAAGAAAAAGAAAGAAAUGGUCGAAACUGCCCAGAACAUCUAUUUCAUGAGCAGAGCAGUACGUGUUCAGCUGGGGAAAAAAAUGAGCCACACAUUAAAUGUUGUUUUAAUUUUUUAUCAACAGUCCAUGCAUAGAACUUAAUAGCAACAUCUAGUUAGGAUUAAUAAUCUCGGCUGCAAAAAUAAAAUGGAUUUACCUGCACAGGUUAAGGAGGAUUUUCUAAAGGACUGGAGGAAGUCAGAUGAAGUGGGCAAAAGCCCACCUUGUAGUGUGUAAACACAAGGCAGAUAAAAAUACCAUAGGUCUAUUUGGUGUGAUCCAUAAUUGUGAUGAGGGGAAAUGGGGCCUACUUCCACUCAUUUGCCUACAUCUCUUUUGGGGUUUCUUAAUUUUCAAAAGCUUUUUAUUGCCUUUCCAGCUGCAGGAGAGACAUCUGAAGCAGACUGCUAUUUUUACUGUCCUUUUUGCUGCGAUCCACUCAAAAUAUUUUCAGAGCUCCCCAAAAAUAUUUAAUUAGCAAAGACUGAUGUUCAGCACUUCAUAAUCUUUCCCCAGCUGAACCAAAUCUGCACAAUUUAUAAUAGAUCUCUGGAAAGCCGCUUUUUACCACAUGCUGCAUCUAUAGAUCUCUCUCAAUUACCCACAGUAAAUUUAGGCAUUGUACAAGAGCAAAUUUUACAGUCCAUGAAGAGAUGAAGUGAAAUCUAGAUGAAAUUCAUUGUGACAGAUUCUCAGUUAGUGCCCUGAUGUGUCUGUAUUACAGAAGAUAGACAUUCUAUUAGCAUGGAAGCUCCCAUAAUGGACUGUGAAUCAUUUCAGGUAAUAGAGAUGCCAACUGGAAUGACUGAAAAGCACUAUUGAAUUCCAUUAGAGCUCUUUGUUUUUAAAUCAGUCAUUUCUUUGAGAAUAUCCAACUAUAUACUUCUUGACCCUAGCUGAGAGUAAUAAUUGUGAACUAAUAUUACAAAACAUUAAUCUGAGUUACUGUUCAAUUAGUGUUUCUGUUAGAGGGUUAUUUUUAUGCUGCAGACGUGAAGCAGACCGGCUUGUAUUACAAAUAUGUAUUUGGACUCAAGCGAGUGCAGAAUGCAAUUUUCAGUUAUAUUUCUGUCUCCACUGUAUUCAGUCUCAUCUCAUUAGCUGUAAAAAGACUAGGGUAUUGGCUUUUCUUUUUCCGAAGUCAUCCUACCAGGAUAAAAUAACUAUAAUCAACAAAUCUAUAAAGAUAAACAUUUUUAUAAAGGAUGCCACAAAUAGUCUUCUUUCAUUUAGGUGCUUGGUUAAUUACGAGCAAAAUAACGAACACCAUAUCCUGCUACCCAAACAGCCCCACCUUAUCUAUCAAUCACGUAUGAUUUAUCAGACUUUAUAAUUGCUUGGAUAAUUAACACAGAAUUUGGUUUACUUAGUGUGCUGAAACCUCAGAAAUGCCUGCAUAAUUGCCAUUUGUGUAGUAGAUGAAGUUAUGAAUAAUUCUUUUUCACAUAAAUAUGAAGGCUAGGUUGCAGGCAGUGCACAUUUCCUCACCCAUCGCCAUUAAUGCAGAUAUCAUGUCAUACAAGUGGUAUGGCAUUGUCACAUGCCUUCUGCUGACUACACAUACGUAGUUAAAGUAAUUAAAAUACGUAUUUAUAAAAAUAAGGCAACAAAUCUCUCCCUCUGUAAGUACUGCGAGCUUCCUUCAUGAGGAAGUACAGAAUGAAGACCGAAGGAAAAUUAGUCUACCCAGUACGGUGGCAACAGGAUCUGAAUCUCUGUAAUAUUCUCACAUAAAUCCUUUGGGAAGCCUUUAAAAAGAGUAGGCUCUACAUCUUCUGUCCACGAUCAUCUAUUUUCACAUCAGAAUGAGCAACAUUAUCCUUAUAUGCAGAGUAUCUGUGUCUACAGCUUGAAAAUGAGACUCUCCUUAAUGUUGUAAUGACAGGUGUAAGAUUAACUUUGUUAGGUGUCUAGCCACUCAUGCAAACUAAAUUAAAUUAAUGGAACAAAUUUCUCUCAUAAUUAAGAUAAAAAUUCAUGUCAGCUGUAACCUUGCUGUACACUAAUUAUAUACAAAUGAUUUAUCAUCUGCUUCGCCCAGAAUAUUAAUCCUCAACUCAUUGAUAACUGCAGCCAGUGUUAAGAGAUGAGAGUUGAUUAACUAUGACAGAUUGGGCAACCACAGCUCCAAGUGCCUGAACAACCAGUAAAACCAAUAAUUUUCAAACAGCACUUCUUAUUUAAAAAUGCAUUCCUGUGGAAACUGAUGCAUGUUUAAUGAGGGAUAUGGAGAUUAUUUCAGUAACGACUGAUAUUGGAGCAGUGGGAAGAACUAAUCGAUAACAAUUAAGUGCUUAGCCUGGUUAAGAUAUGGUUCUAUAAAGUGGGUUAUGUACACAUUAGUGAGAUACCGGUUCGGGCUCUGUUACGUAUAACGUCUUCAUGCAAGGCUCUUAUUUAUUUUUCCCAAUGCAGAAGGUAUUGCAUCAUUUAUGUGUUACACAGGCUCUAACAAAAAGAAGAUGAAAUGAUGCUGCCAACAGUCCUUUGAAAGUCCAAAUGGGAACUCCAGUGAUAAUUAAGCCAUGGAAAAUGGUACCUUGUUAUGAAAAUGCUGUUCUACAAAAAAAAAAAAAAAAAAAA